GCCCAGCUGGCGGAAUGGUAGACGCGCUGGUCUCAAACACCUGUGGGAAACCGUGCCGGUUCGAGUCCGGCGCUGGGUA
rnacentral:tRNA from 3 species